rnacentral:rRNA from 1 species
UACGGGGGGACAAGCGUUGUUCGGAUUUAUUGGGCGUAAAGGGCGCGUAGGCGGGCCCACAAGUCGGAUGUGAAAACCACGGGCUCAACCCGUGGCCUGCAUUCGAUACUGUGGGUCUUGAGUAUCGGAGAGGAGUGUGGAAUUCCAGGUGUAGCGGUGAAAUGCGUAGAUAUCUGGAAGAACACCGAUGGCGAAGGCAGCACUCUGGACGAAUACUGACGCUGAGGCGCGAAGGCUUGGGGAGCAAACAGG